rnacentral:sRNA from 1 species
AGCAUAGGUGUGCUGGCUGCAGCCACUUCCCUCACCCACACUUUAUCUCUCACUCUCCAGCCGCUGACAGCCCAUUUUAUUGUCAAUCUCUGUCUUCUUCCCAGGAAUCUGAGAAUUGCUCUCACACACCAACCCAGCAACAUCCGUGGAGAAAACUCUCACCAGCAACUCCUUUAAAACACCGUCAUUUCAAACCAUUGUGGUCUUCAAGCAACAACAGCAGCACAAAAAACCCCAACCAAACAAAACUCUUGACAGAAGCUGUGACAACCAGAAAGGAUGCCUCAUAAAGGGGGAAGACUUUAACUAGGGGUGCGCAGAUGUGUGAGGCCUUUUAUUGUGAGAGUGGACAGACAUCCGAGAUUUCAGAGCCCCAUAUUCGAGCCCCGUGGAAUCCCGCGGCCCCCAGCCAGAGCCAGCAUGCAGAACAGUCACAGCGGAGUGAAUCAGCUCGGUGGUGUCUUUGUCAACGGGCGGCCACUGCCGGACUCCACCCGGCAGAAGAUUGUAGAGCUAGCUCACAGCGGGGCCCGGCCGUGCGACAUUUCCCGAAUUCUGCAGGUGUCCAACGGAUGUGUGAGUAAAAUUCUGGGCAGGUAUUACGAGACUGGCUCCAUCAGACCCAGGGCAAUCGGUGGUAGUAAACCGAGAGUAGCGACUCCAGAAGUUGUAAGCAAAAUAGCCCAGUAUAAGCGGGAGUGCCCGUCCAUCUUUGCUUGGGAAAUCCGAGACAGAUUACUGUCCGAGGGGGUCUGUACCAACGAUAACAUACCAAGUGUGUCAUCAAUAAACAGAGUUCUUCGCAACCUGGCUAGCGAAAAGCAACAGAUGGGCGCAGACGGCAUGUAUGAUAAACUAAGGAUGUUGAACGGGCAGACCGGAAGCUGGGGCACCCGCCCUGGUUGGUAUCCGGGGACUUCGGUGCCAGGGCAACCUACGCAAGAUGGCUGCCAGCAACAGGAAGGAGGGGGAGAGAAUACCAACUCCAUCAGUUCCAAUGGAGAAGAUUCAGAUGAGGCUCAAAUGCGACUUCAGCUGAAGCGGAAGCUGCAAAGAAAUAGAACAUCCUUUACCCAAGAGCAAAUUGAGGCCCUGGAGAAAGGUGAUAGAGUUUUUCAAAGUAGAGAAGCAGUAAAUCAAAGUAAAUGCCACAUCUUCAGUACAAAGAGCUAAAUUUAGCCAGGGCCCUUUGCAUAGAAGAAUGAAAAGAUUUCCUUUUUUCUGUCUUUUUAUUUCUCUGGGCAUCUUUUCAGUGUGUGUGUGUGUGUGUGUGUGUGUGUGGUGUGUGUGUGUGUGUGUUUCUUCUUUUCAUCUACCAGCAAUUCAAAGACUAAAUGUCUGACUUAUAAGGAAAAAUGAUGAUUUGGCUAUUUCAGGCCACAGAAAGGUCACUAAAUGCCAUUCCAAAGAAAAUUUAACUUGGUUCUGGUGGGAAAGUUCUUCCAAGUACAGUCAACACUAGAAGCAUUUUAAAGGGAAUUGGUUGGAGGUAAUGGGAGUGGGAAGGUGGGAACCAGUUUGAUCCACAGUUUGGUCAACAUAUUUUGUGUAGUUCUGGCACAAUAUGGAAAAUCAACUUACUCUUUCAGAGUUUGAGAGAACCCAUUAUCCAGAUGUGUUUGCUCGAGAAAGACUAGCAGCCAAAAUAGAUCUACCUGAAGCAAGAAUACAGGUACCGAGAGACUGUGCAGUUUCACACUUUGUGAUUCAUACCAUUUGUCUUUCCUAGAGACAGAGGUGCUUGUACAGAGUACUAUUUAUUUAUAGGACUAAUAACAGGUUCAGUCUGCUAAAUGCUCUGCUGCCAUGGGUGUGGGGAGGGCAGCAGUGGAGGUGCCAAGGUGGGGCUGGGCUCGACGUAGACACAGUGCUAACCUGUCCCACCUGAUUUCCAGGUAUGGUUUUCUAAUCGAAGGGCCAAAUGGAGAAGAGAAGAAAAACUGAGGAAUCAGAGAAGACAGGCCAGCAACACACCUAGUCAUAUUCCUAUCAGCAGUAGUUUCAGCACCAGUGUCUACCAACCAAUUCCACAACCCACCACACCUGUUUCCUCCUUCACAUCUGGCUCCAUGUUGGGCCGAACAGACACAGCCCUCACAAACACCUACAGCGCUCUGCCGCCUAUGCCCAGCUUCACCAUGGCAAAUAACCUGCCUAUGCAACCCCCAGUCCCCAGCCAGACCUCCUCAUACUCCUGCAUGCUGCCCACCAGCCCUUCAGUGAAUGGGCGGAGUUAUGAUACCUACACCCCCCCACAUAUGCAGACACACAUGAACAGUCAGCCAAUGGGCACCUCGGGCACCACUUCAACAGGACUCAUUUCCCCUGGUGUGUCAGUUCCAGUUCAAGUUCCCGGAAGUGAACCUGAUAUGUCUCAAUACUGGCCA